rnacentral:rRNA from 1 species
UGGGGAAUAUUGCACAAUGGGCGCAAGCCUGAUGCAGCCAUGCCGCGUGUGUGAAGAAGGCCUUCGGGUUGUAAAGCACUUUCAGCGAGGAGGAAGGUGGUGAGCUUAAUACGCUCAUCAAUUGACGUUACUCGCAGAAGAAGCACCGGCUAACUCCGUGCCAGCAGCCGCGGUAAUACGGAGGGUGCAAGCGUUAAUCGGAAUUACUGGGCGUAAAGCGCACGCAGGCGGUUUGUUAAGUCAGAUGUGAAAUCCCCGGGCUCAACCUGGGAACUGCAUUUGAAACUGGCAAGCUAGAGUCUCGUAGAGGGGGGUAGAAUUCCAGGUGUAGCGGUGAAAUGCGUAGAGAUCUGGAGGAAUACCGGUGGCGAAGGCGGCCCCCUGGACGAAGACUGACGCUCAGGUGCGAAAGCGUGGGGCAGCAAACAGGAUUAGAUACCCCUGGUAGUCCACGCUGUAAACGAUGUCGAUUUGGAGGUUGUGCCCCUUGAGGCGUGGCUUCCGGAGCUAACGCGUUAAAUCGACCGCCU